AUCUUGCGAAAUGGGCGAAAGCCUGACGCAGCAAGGCCGCGGGGGUGUUGAAGGUCUUAGGAUGGUAAAAUUCUUUCACCGGGGAGGAUAAUAAGGUUACCCGGAGAAGAAGCCCCGGCUAACUCCGUUCCACCAGCCGCGGUAAUACGAAGGGGGCUAGCGUUGCUCGGAAUUACUGGGCGUAAAGGGCGCGUAGGCGGAUCGUUAAGUCAGGGGUGAAAUCCCGGGGCUCAACCUCGGAACUGCCCUUGAUACUGGCGAUCUUGAGUAUGAGAGAGGUAUGUGGAACUCCGAGUGUAGAGGUGAAAUUCGUAGAUAUUCGGAAGAACACCAGUGGCGAAGGCGACAUACUGGCUCAUUACUGACGCUGAGGCGCGAAAGCGUGGGGAGCAAAC
rnacentral:rRNA from 1 species